rnacentral:rRNA from 1 species
GACGAACCGUGCGAACGUUGUUCGGAUUCACUGGGCUUAAAGGGCGCGUAGGCGGACAAGCAAGUCAAGGGUGAAAUCUUUCAGCUUAACUGGAAACGUGCCUUUGAUACUGCUUGUCUCGAGGGAGGCAGGGGCAUGCGGAACUUCCGGUGGAGCGGUGAAAUGCGUAGAUAUCGGAAGGAACGCCGGUGGCGAAAGCGGCGCGCUGGACCUCUUCUGACGCUGAGGCGCGAAAGCCAGGGGAGCCGGAACGGG